UCUUCGCUAGUAUAUCGGUUAGUACACGCGCCUGUCACUCCUCAAACGGUACCAGUGCCAAAACGCGCGAAAGCUGGGUUCGACUCCCAGGCGAAGAG